GAGACACAUUCCAGCCAAUCAGCAGCAGACCCUCCCUCCCAGACCCUCCCACCUCCUGGACAGCUCACUAAGAAUGCAGCUUCACAAUGAAUGUAAAAUGGAUGCUGUCCAGGAGGUGGGAGAGUCUGGGAGGGAGGGUCUUCUGCUGAUUGGCUGGAAUGUGUCUG